CCUACGGGGGGCUGCAGUGGGGAAUAUUGCACAAUGGGCGCAAGCCUGAUGCAGCCAUGCCGCGUGUGUGAAGAAGGCCUUCGGGUUGUAAAGCACUUUCAGCGGGGAGGAAGGCGGUGAGGUUAAUAACCUCAUCGAUUGACGUUACCCGCAGAAGAAGCACCGGCUAACUCCGUGCCAGCAGCCGCGGUAAUACGGAGGGUGCAAGCGUUAAUCGGAAUUACUGGGCGUAAAGCGCACGCAGGCGGUCUGUCAAGUCGGAUGUGAAAUCCCCGGGCUCAACCUGGGAACUGCAUUCGAAACUGGCAGGCUAGAGUCUUGUAGAGGGGGGUAGAAUUCCAGGUGUAGCGGUUAAAUGCGUAGAGAUCUGGAGGAAUACCGGUGGCGAAGGCGGCCCCCUGGACAAAGACUGACGCUCAGGUGCGAAAGCGUGGGGAGCAAACAGGAUUAGAUACCCCAGUAGUC
rnacentral:rRNA from 1 species